rnacentral:lncRNA from 1 species
GGUGUGGCCUGUGCCCCCUAAAGAGAGGUUUCCCCCCCACCGAAUCUUCUACUUCAGCAGCCACUGGUGUGAGAGGCUCCAGCAGUUUCUCCCUGAUUUCCAAUGCCAAUUACAUAGACUCCAAAGAGGCUUCUGACCCAGGAGUAAGGAGGCAGGUCAUCUGGGUUUCCCAUAAACAGGAUAAGGAGGUCCAGACUGGGUAGAAUCAGGCAAGCUUGGAAUUAUUCACUUCUUAGAAAGUCACAAACUUUCAUGAGCGUUCCCUCUCUUUGGAAGGGGAUAUCUUUCUCUCUUAUAAACGAAAAUAAAAUACGAAGUAAAAAAAAAUAAAACUCCACUGAUAAAGUCUGAAGGGAGCCCACAGAGGGGCCCCCAGAUCCCUAUCUUAAGGCGGCCCCAGCGUGAGGCUCAGGUUCCCAACGCUAGGGAGAGAAAAUCGGCUAACUGCAAGGCCGGGGCCAACUCGGUUGCCUGGCAACGAGACGCCGUGGAGGACUUCCUCAUUGGUUGGGAUUGGUGGGGGCGGGGUCGCGAACUCAGGAGUUGCAGGGAAGAUGGCUGGGAGCUGGCGACUGGCCAGGAAGCCACAUUCUCCCAACUCUGGUUUCUCCUCUUAGCCCGAACACACCGAGAGGCCGACAUGUUUUCAGAUAUGCAAAUACGUCUCCCAACAGUGAAAUAUUUGACAACUGAGAUAUGAAGUGAUUGUUUAAUUCUUAAUUCCUGGUUGAUUUAUGCAAAAUAUGAACGGAAAGACGUGGAGCGACAGGCACUCUCUUCCUCCCAAUUUGCCAAAAAAGAAAGGCAUCUGAAGGGAUUAAAAAUAGACGUAUCCAGUGGAGGCAACAUUUUGGAAUGUGUCGGAUGCCAGCUGGGGGAGUUGAAGUGAAAUCUCAGAAUCUGCUAUGCACUCGAAUUUCAGUGAGGAGUACAUAUGUUUGGCAUUAAAAACCUAUUGGAAAAGUCAUUGUUUUCUGAAUAUCUUUAAUAUACUUUUCUGUGUUGCAUCUAGCACCCAAAGAACUCCUUCUGGGUAUUUUUACUGAAAUGCCAGCACCGGAUUUACAAAUUAUGGGGCCCAGGGCAAAAGCAAAAGUGGGGGCUCCCCUGACGCCCGAUAGUUGGCAACCUAUCGACUAAUUGCUGCCAGGACGAAAUAUCACUGGAUAAUGUGUAUUUGCACCACCUCUGAGGACCCUGUAUUUCAUUCUGUUCAAGAAGGAUUACCGCUUGCUACAUUGGCCCUUGGGAGCCCUGUGGUCCCACGGCCCAUUCCUACCUUAUCCUCCAGACCGCACCCGGAAGGGGGGCGGUGAACGUGGACCUUUGUAAAUGAGGACGAAAAAAUGCGGUGUUUAUGACCCUCUCUUGCUCUUUCUUUCUUUGCUUUGGUAUAAGAGGUGCGGUCGUGGGGGAAGUAGAGUCGCCUCCAGGAGUAUUCUUAGUGAAUUUCCCCCGCUGGAUUCUAGGAUGUGGCCCAAGCUCCCUCCGUGACUAAUGCUUUCCAUUUAUUCAUGCUUCAUGUCACAGCGGGCAGGGCUGCUGCAGGACAGGUCGGAAUUACGGAAUUAUUAAUCCCGUUUUACAAAGGAGGAAACUGAAGCUCUGGGGAUUUGGCACUUUGUUAGUGGUGGAGAUUGCCGGAGACUAACCCAGUUUUAGGGCUGAGAAUUCAGCGACUGAUUUCAGCACUCUGUCGC